CCCUUAGAUGUUCUGGGCCGCACGCGCGCUACACUGAUGCACUCAACGAGUCUCCACCUUGACCGAAAGGUCCGGGAAACCUUCGAACUUGCAUCGUGAUGGGGAUAGAUUAUUGCAACUAUUAAUCUUCAACGAGGAAUUCCUAGUAAACGCAAGUCAUCAGCUUGCAUUGAUUACGUCCCUGCCCUUUGUACACACCGCCCGUCGCACCUACCGAUUGAAUGGUCCGGUGAAAUCUCGGGACGGCGGCUUGGUCGCUUGCGUCCGACUGCUGAAACUUGAUUAAACCAUAUCAUUUAGAGGAAGGUGAAGUCGUAACA
rnacentral:rRNA from 1 species